rnacentral:rRNA from 1 species
UACGUAGGGUGCAAGCGUUAAUCGGAAUUACUGGGCGUAAAGCGUGCGCAGGCGGUUUCGUAAGUCUGUCGUGAAAUCCCCGGGCUUAACCUGGGAAUGGCGAUGGAGACUGCGAGGCUAGAGUUUGGCAGAGGGGGGUAGAAUUCCACGUGUAGCAGUGAAAUGCGUAGAGAUGUGGAGGAACACCGAUGGCGAAGGCAGCCCCCUGGGUCAAAACUGACGCUCAUGCACGAAAGCGUGGGGAGCAAAAGGG